rnacentral:rRNA from 1 species
GAUGAACGCUGGCGGCGUGCUUAACACAUGCAAGUCGAACGAUGAUGCCANCUUGCUGGUGGAUUAGUGGCGAACGGGUGAGUAACACGUGAGUAACCUGCCCUUAACUCUGGGAUAAGCCUGGGAAACUGGGUCUAAUACCGGAUAUGACUCCUCAUCGCAUGGUGGGGGGUGGAAAGCUUUAUUGUGGUUUUGGAUGGACUCGCGGCCUAUCAGCUUGUUGGUGAGGUAAUGGCUCACCAAGGCGACGACGGGUGGCCGGCCUGAGAGGGUGACCGGCCACACUGGGAUUGAGACACGGCCCAGACUCCUACGGGAGGCAGCAGUGGGGAAUAUUGCACAAUGGGCGAAAGCCUGAUGCAGCGACUCCGCGUGAGGGAUGACGGCCUUCGGGUUGUAAACCUCUUUCAGUAGGGAAGAAGCGAAAGUG